GUUAAACAGUCUAAAUCGGUUUGACAGUCUUUAUGUUUACAGAAUAAAAUAGUUAAACCUAAAGAUGGCCUGGUGGGACAAAAAGACUUUCUGGGCUCUACUGGCACUCCUGACAGUAGCAGGUGCUGAAGUUCCAUCAGUGAUUCAUCCUUUUAUAAGAACCUGUGCUGUAAGAGGGUCGACCGUCACCCUCCCCUGCACCUUCACACCUCUGAAGUCUUUCAUUCAGAAUGGAAGAGAGGUUCCUCUGAGGAUCAUCAGAGUCGGCUGGUGUGUGAAACAUGAGAUCUGCCACAACCUCCAACCCCAUUCUGUGUAUGACAGCAACUCUACAAAGAACGACCCUCGCUAUCAGUACCUGGGAGACAUGAAGGGAAACUGUACUUUACAGAUCAGAGACAUCCAGAUGAAGGAUAAUGAAACCUUUCGCUUCAAAAUGGAAGCAGAUAAUCCUGCUGGACAUUUUACCAACCGAACAGGAGUGUCCAUCAGAGUUGUUGAUGGAGAAAAAAUGUCAAUAAAAAGCUCCAGAGAUGACGGACAGUUCAGACGUGGUGAAACAGUCUCCCUGCAGUGCACCUCUUCAGCCUGCACCACCCACCAACUAAACAUCGCCUGGUUCAGAGAUGGCCACGCCCUCUCAGAGACUGGCUCCACCCUCCAGCUCGGCCCUCUGGCUGAAGGGCAUUCUGGGAACUACUCAUGUGGUCUGGGGACCUACAAGAAGACCCUCUCUAAACCGUACAGCCUGCAGGUGGAGGCUGCAGAGGAAGGAGUAAAAACGGGCGUGAAGACGAUCGUCAGUCUGGUUGUGUUCACUGUGCUCACCGUCAUAUUUUUCAUUGUGACGUCCAACAUCAUUAAAAGGACAUGUUGUCUGCAGGACAGCAGCAGGUCAGAAAACACAGCUAAGAGAUACCUGCAGGUUCAGCCUACAGACGUCGCUGAGGAGCUGUGAUGUCCAUAAGAACCACGCUAACCAUGCUAACCACGCUAACCACGCUAACCCUGCUAACCACGCUAACCCUGCUAACCACGCUAACCACGCUAACCCUGCUAACCAUGCUAACCCUGCUAACCACGCUAACCACGCUAACCCUGCUAACCACGCUAACCAUGCUAACCCUGCUAACCAUAAUAAUCAUGCUAACCACGCUAACCCUGCUAACCCUGCUAACCAUGCUAACCAUGAUAACCACGCUAACCACGCUAACCAUGCUAACCACGCUAACCAUGCUAACCACGCUAACCCUGCUAACCAUGCUAACCACGCUAACCCUGCUAACCAUGCUAAUCACGCUAACCACGCUAACCCUGCUAACCAUGCUAACCACGCUAACCAUGCUAACCAUGCUAACCCUGCUAACCCUGCUAACCACGCUAACUAUGCUACAGCUGGUAAACAGACUUUUGGCUGUAACCCAGGAAGAGGUCAUAACACUGAAAAUGUCUCAAACCAAACCAGGUUUGCCAAAAACUAAAGGACUAAACAUGAGAUGUGAACAAGGAAACUCUGCAAUACAACGAUAACGAAAGACUAACAGCAGGGAAUCAGGACUGGAUUCAGUUUUCCUUUAAGAUUCCACAACAUUCCCUAUUAGAGACGAAACUAAGUUCCUGGUCUGCUCAGCAACGUUAGGAGGAGACACGACACAAAGCUGGCAGGAGGAACCCGGUGUGUCUUCUGCUGCAUCCUGGUCCAGACAACUGCUGCUCUGGAUGUUUUCUCUUCUUCAGACCAUCUCUGGAAACCCUGGAGAUGGUUGUGGGUGCAAAUCCCAGUAAAGACCAACAACCAUUCCACGUUCAAAGUGUCUUAAAUCCUCUUUCUUAUUCUUUCCAUGAAUGUUUUACCAACAGCAUCUUCUUCCUCACCUUGUUAACCACAGAUCAUCAGAACCCUGAUCUGAAUUUAGAUAUUAGGUUCAAACAAGACUCAAACACUGGACCUUGAGGUCCAAGGGUCCAGAUGUUUGCUGCUCCAACACACCGGAUUCAGAUUAAACGUCUCUCCUCAACAGCUUAUUGUCUAGUUGUCCCCAAACAUGUUGAGCCAUUAACGUGAUACAGGUGCUGCAGCAGGAAACAUCUCAAACCUGCAGGACAGCGGCCCUGGAGGAGCUGCUCCAUGCUUCCCUGCUGCAACACACCGGACUAUGAUCCUGUUAUCAGACCAAACAAAGCUUCAUUUCUUUGUCUCCCAUAAACAGUGUGAAUAAAUGAGUAAAUAUUGUUUAUUAAUAUUUGUUUUUAUUAUUUCCUGUCGUGUGAAAAUAAAUUCAGAGUUAAAAAAAAGCUCAAACUGCAGAAAAGAACAGAUGAUUUAGGAUUUCUAUGACAGGAUGAUGAUCCUGCUGCAGCCUUCUGAACCACAGCUUCACUCCUCCUCUACAGACAUGAGAAUAUUAUCAUUACAUCAUCCGUUAAAGCAGCAGAGCGGAACGAUAACUGAGCGGACGGUCGUCCUGCUGCAGACUCAGACCUGUUGCUGCAGGUUCUUUGG